GGUCCUAAGGUAGCGAAAUUCCUUGUCGGGUAAGUUCCGACCUGCACGAAUGGCGUAAUGAUGGCCAGGCUGUCUCCACCCGAGACUCAGUGAAAUUGAACUCGCUGUGAAGAUGCAGUGUACCCGCGGCAAGACGGAAAGACCCCGUGAACCUUUACUAUAGCUUGACACUGAACAUUGAGCCUUGAUGUGUAGGAUAGGUGGGAGGCUUUGAAGCGUGGACGCCAGUCUGCGUGGAGCCAACCUUGAAAUACCACCCUUUAAUGUUUGAUGUUCUAACGUUGGCCCCUGACCGGGGUUGCGGACAGUGUCUGGUGGGUAGUUUGACUGGGGCGGUCUCCUCCCAAAGCGUAACGGAGGAGCACGAAGGUUAGCUAAUCCUGGUCGGACAUCAGGAGGUUAGUGCAAUGGCAUAAGCUAGCUUGACUGCGAGCGUGACGGCGCGAGCAGGUGCGAAAGCAGGUCAUAGU
rnacentral:rRNA from 1 species